rnacentral:lncRNA from 1 species
UGGCUGCUAGUAUUCGGAUUUGCAUCAGGAAAAAGAUGGAGAAGUGUAGUAUGAGUCCAAAGCAACGGGUACUUAGUAGGCAUCAUCGGAUGACUGAGCUCAAUACAGAAAAAGUAUAAUUAAAAUGCGAGGGUGUAAUCUAAGUCAAUAGUAAACGGGGAUAGAAAGGUAAUCAACUACCAAGCUACACAAAUGCGGUAAAGGAAUAAUUAUAAGUGAUACAUAAAAUAAAUAACGCAGUAAUAACAGACAAAUCAAACAUAAUCUAACUAGGCCCCCAUAAACCCGCUAGGAACACGGAAGAAAAUAAUUAAACCAAUCGUACCCCUAUAAGUCGGUGGAACACACAAAAAGUAAUUAAAUAAAUUAAACAUAAAUAAUCCGCAACUGAGUUGAUCCCGAAAAAUCAUAGUAGUCAUCCAGAUAUGCACGGGCCUCGAACCGGCACCAAUAGGUAAUAACGAGAGGCUAGACGUCGGGCUUAAACCGGUAGUGAUGGAUAAUAACAAGAGGUCAUAUGCUGGAUUCGAACCGAAAAUAACGGGUAAUAACGAGAGGCCACAUUUAUGUGAUAUACCACAAAACUCAUAAUCUGAUGUCGGACUCGAACCGAAACUCAGUGAAACCACAACUCAAUAGUAACUAGUAUCAGAACUCCUAAAUCACCAUACCAGAUGUUGAACUCGAACCGAAACUCAUAAUAAUCAAACCCAACUAUAAAAUUCAAAUUAAAAUCAUACCAUAUCCAAUGUCAAAGUGGCACCAAAACUCACAAUCAAUGACAAAAACAAUCAAUGACAGAAAUAAAGUAUAUGUUGAACCUAAAUCAAAACUAAAAUAUAUUUAAUCAACCAUUCACAUAUCUUAAUUAAAAAGGGACAAAUCCAAGGUUUCGCAACAUAAUUUCACGUCUUAAAGUGAUAGAUGUUAUAUCAUAUUGAAAGAUAAGAUACCAAAAUUUACUAGAACGGGAUCCUAACAUGAUAAAUAAGGCAUCGUAUAUAUAUCAAUGGUACACAAAUUACAAGUGCUUGUCCAAAACUAGUGAAAUAGUACACAAUUACCAUAAAUAAGCUCAAUCUUAAAGUAGAAUAAAUCUAACCUAUCUAAACGCCAAAGCUAAAAUGUCUCUGAGAAGCCUUCAAAUAGUAUUCUACUAAGCUUGAAUAACCUGAAGUAGAUAAUUAUUUUCUUCCUCGAAUUGAGCCUAAGAAACCUUAACGAACUGAUAUAUUCUCUUCUUUUUCACGUAAUGGGACUUUUGCUAACUACUCUCAAUGACUCAAUCUCUAUGGAUAAAUGACAAUGUAUUAUAUACCACACUCAGAGACAAAUGUAUCAGAACAUCUCAUGAAUAUAUUUCAGUGUAUUUAAAGAAUGAAUAGGCCAUACCCUCUUUGAACAGCUUGUUGUAACAAUCAGUAGAUUAUUAAAUCUUUUCAGUCGUUAAGAUUCAACAUUUUAUCAUAUCUAAGAUGGCAUAGACAAAUUCUCUAUUGUGUAUUAUCACG